CCUACGGGGGGCAGCAGUGGGGAAUAUUGGACAAUGGGGGCAACCCUGAUCCAGCCAUGCCGCGUGUGUGAAGAAGGCCCUCGGGUUGUAGAGCACUUUCAGUGAGGAAGAACGCCUGGUGGUUAAUACCCAUCAGGAAAGACAUCACUCACAGAAGAAGCACCGGCUAACUCCGUGCCAGCAGCCGCGGUAAUACGGAGGGUGCGAGCGUUAAUCGGAAUUACUGGGCGUAAAGCGCGCGUAGGUGGCUUGAUAAGCCGGUUGUGAAAGCCCCGGGCUCAACCUGGGAACGGCAUCCGGAACUGUCAAGCUAGAGUGCAGGAGAGGAAGGUAGAAUUCCCGGUGUAGCGGUGAAAUGCGUAGAGAUCGGGAGGAAUACCAGUGGCGAAGGCGGCCUUCUGGACUGACACUGACACUGAGGUGCGAAAGCGUGGGUAGCAAACAGGAUUAGAUACCCGAGUAGUC
rnacentral:rRNA from 1 species